rfam:Myotis brandtii contig263818, whole genome shotgun sequence.
GGAGGUUCUCAGGUGACACACCCCAGAAUUGGGCUCCCUCCUCUCUGGUUCUGGGUGUGUCACCCGAGAACCACA